AUACGGAGGGAGCUAGCGUUGUUCGGAAUUACUGGGCGUAAAGCGCGCGUAGGCGGCUUUGCAAGUAGAGGGUGGAAUCCCAGGGCUUAACCCUGGAACUGCCUCCUAAACUGCAGAGCUAGAAUCCUGGAGAGGUGAGUGGAAUUCCUAGUGUAGAGGUGAAAUUCGUAGAUAUUAGGAAGAACACCAGUGGCGAAGGCGACUCACUGGACAGGUAUUGACGCUAAGGUGCGAAAGCGUGGGGAGCGAACAGGAUUAGAAACCCUAGUAGUCC
rnacentral:rRNA from 1 species